UAUUAAUUUUACACACGUUUGAAGAUUGUCAGUGAUUAUCCGGCCCUCCAACCAGCACCUGGAAAUGGAGGAAUUUUGGCAUUGUGUAUAUCAAAAUGAUUAGCUUGGUCAGGGGCACUCGACUGCAACAGUGAUCUUUUAUUCUGGGCUAUUGUUUAUUCAUAAUCUGUGGACUGCGUGUCGUGUAGUGGUGAAGUGUCGUAAAUAUGGCAUUAUUGUACUUUGAUGGUGUUUAUGAAAAACUGUACAAAUCCGACGGCGGCGAAAACGAGAAGUACAUAGACGGUUACAUUGAAAUUAAGGAAAAAGAAGUGGAUCAAGUAUUGGUGCGAACUUAAGAAAAGAAUCUUCAUUUCUUCAACAAUGUUAACACUCAAAUUAAGGAGCAUUAUGUGGGCUGUUUCGUUCUGGAAAGUGGGACGAACAUUGAAUCAAAGAGAGAUAAUACAAAAUGGAAGUUGGUUAAAGAAAAUGGAAAGUUGAAUUUGAAAACUGAUAACCUUGCUCUUAAAGAACAGUGGAUCGAUGCAUUUCAACAAUCAAUUAGGGGGAAAAUGCCUUCAAGAGCAGAUAAUGUUUUACGUGGCAGUGGACCUGCACAUUCACCAUCUAGAACAUACCCUCAUCGCUCCAGCAGUGACUACAAACUGCAAGAAAAAGAGUUACAAGAUUUGCGAAACUUUUCUCGAGCAACUUGUAAUAACUCCUCUCUGUCUGAAGAU